rnacentral:rRNA from 1 species
GACGAACCACACAAACGUUAUUCGGAAUUACUGGGCUUAAAGGGUGCGUAGGCGGCGCGGAAAGUUGGGUGUGAAAUCCCUCGGCUCAACCGAGGAACUGCGCCCAAAACUACCGUGCUCGAGGGAGAUAGAGGUGAGCGGAACUUAGGGUGGAGCGGUGAAAUGCGUUGAUAUCCUAAGGAACACCCGUGGCGAAAGCGGCUCACUGGGUCUCUUCUGACGCUGAGGCACGAAAGCUAGGGUAGCGAACGGG